rnacentral:rRNA from 1 species
GGAUGCGAUCAUACCAGCACUAAAGCACCGGAUCCCAUCAGAACUCUGAAGUUAAGCGUGCUUGGGCGAGAAUAGUACUAGGAUGGGUGACCUCCUGGGAAGUCCUCGUGUUGCAUUCC